rnacentral:rRNA from 1 species
AGUCAAGUAAUUAAGUGCAUGUGGUGGAUGCCUUGGCAGUCAGAGGCGAUGAAAGACGUGAUAGCCUGCGAAAAGCUCCGGGGAGGCGGCAAAUAUCCUUUGAUCCGGAGAUGUCUGAAUGGGGGAACCCACCUACUUUAAGGUAGGUAUUGCAACAUGAAUACAUAGUGUUGCAAGGCGAACGAGGGGAAGUGAAACAUCUCAGUACCCUUAGGAAAAGAAAUCAAUUGAGAUUCCCUCAGUAGCGGCGAGCGAACGGGGAUCAGCCCAUUAAGUUAUGUGUGUUUUAGUGGAACGCUCUGGGAAGUGCGAACGUAGAGGGUGAUACUCCCGUACACGAAAGGGCACACAUAAUGAUGACGAGUAGGGCGAGGCACGUGAAACCUUGUCUGAAUAUGGGGGGACCAUCCUCCAAGGCUAAAUACUCCUGACUGACCGAUAGUGAACCAGUACCGUGAGGGGAAAGGCGAAAAGAACCCCUGUGAGGGGAGUGAAAUAGAUCCUGAAACCGCAUGCAUACAAGCAGUGGGAGCACCUUCGUGGUGUGACUGCGUACCUUUUGUAUAAUGGGUCAGCGACUUAUAUUCAGUAGCGAGGUUAACCGUAUAGGGGAGCCGUAGAGAAAUCGAGUCUUAAUAGGGUCGUUUAGUUGCUGGGUAUAGACCCGAAACCAGGCGAUCUAUCCAUGAGCAGGUUGAAGGUUGGGUAACACUAACUGGAGGACCGAACCCACUGUCGUUGAAAAGCCAGGGGAUGACUUGUGGAUAGGGGUGAAAGGCUAAGUCAAGCCUGGUGAUAGCUGGUUCUCCCCGAAAGCUAUUUAGGUAGCGCCUCGGACGAAUACCAUAGGGGGUAGAGCACUGUUUCGGCUAGGGGGUCAUCCCGACUUACCAAACCGAUGCAAACUCCGAAUACCUAUGAGUACUAUCCGGGAGACAGACUGCGGGUGCUAACGUCCGUAGUCAAGAGGAAAACAAUCCAGACCGCCAGCUAAGGCCCCAAAAUCAUAGUUAAGUGGGAAACGAUGUGGGAAGGCAUAGACAGCUAGGAGGUUGGCUUAGAAGCAGCCACCCUUUAAAGAAAGCGUAAUAGCUCACUAGUCGAGUCGGCCUGCGCGGAAGAUGUAACGGGGCUAAAACUAUGUGCCGAAGCUGCGGAUGUAUACUUUGUAUACGUGGUAGGGGAGCGUUCUGUAAGCCGGUGAAGGUGUGUUGAGAAGCAUGCUGGAGGUAUCAGAAGUGCGAAUGCUGACGUGAGUAACGACAAAACGGGUGAAAAACCCGUUCGCCGAAAGACCAAGGGUUCCAGUCCAACGUUAAUCGGGGCUGGGUGAGUCGACCCCUAAGGCGAGGCCGAAAGGCGUAGUCGAUGGGAAAAUGGUUAAUAUUCCAUUACUUCUGUGUAAUGCGAUGAGAGGACGGAGAAGGCUAAAUCAGCCUGGCGUUGGUUGUCCAGGUGAAAGGAUGUAGGCAUGUAUCUUAGGCAAAUCCGGGGUACUCUAUGCUGAGAUCUGAUAGCAAGCUGUACUUGUACAGCGAAGUGGUUGAUGCCAUGCUUCCAGGAAAAGUCUCUAAGCUUCAGUUACACAGGAAUCGUACCCGAAACCGACACAGGUGGUCAGGUCGAGUAGACCAAGGCGCUUGAGAGAACUCUGCUGAAGGAACUAGGCAAAAUGGUACCGUAACUUCGGGAGAAGGUACGCUGUUGUUGGUGAUGGAACUCGCUUCCUGAGCUGACGACAGCCGCAGAAACCAGGCCGCUGCAACUGUUUAUUAAAAACAUAGCACUCUGCAAACACGAAAGUGGACGUAUAGGGUGUGAUGCCUGCCCGGUGCUGGAAGGUUAAUUGAUGGGGUUAGCGUAAGCGAAGCUCUUGAUCGAAGCCCCAGUAAACGGCGGCCGUAACUAUAACGGUCCUAAGGUAGCGAAAUUCCUUGUCGGGUAAGUUCCGACCUGCACGAAUGGCAUAAUGAUGGCGGCGCUGUCUCCAGCAGAGGCUCAGUGAAAUCGAAAUCGCUGUGAAGAUGCAGUGUACCCGCGGCUAGACGGAAAGACCCCGUGAACCUUUACUGCAGCUUGACACUGAACUUUGACCUUACUUGUGUAGGAUAGGUGGGAGGCUUUGAAGCUGGAACGCUAGUUCCAGUGGAGCCGUCCUUGAAAUACCACCCUGGUAAUGUUGAGGUUCUAACUCUGUCCCGUGAUCCGGGACGAGGACCGUGUCUGGUGGGUAGUUUGACUGGGGCGGUCUCCUCCUAAAGAGUAACGGAGGAGUACGAAGGUGCGCUCAGCGUGGUCGGAAAUCACGCGUAGAGUAUAAAGGCAAAAGCGCGCUUAACUGCGAGACCCACAAGUCGAGCAGGUACGAAAGUAGGUCUUAGUGAUCCGGUGGUUCUGUAUGGAAGGGCCAUCGCUCAACGGAUAAAAGGUACUCUGGGGAUAACAGGCUGAUACCGCCCAAGAGUUCAUAUCGACGGCGGUGUUUGGCACCUCGAUGUCGGCUCAUCUCAUCCUGGGGCUGAAGCAGGUCCCAAGGGUAUGGCUGUUCGCCAUUUAAAGAGGUACGCGAGCUGGGUUUAGAACGUCGUGAGACAGUUCGGUCCCUAUCUACCGUGGGCGCUGGAAAUUUGAGAGGAUCUGCUCCUAGUACGAGAGGACCAGAGUGGACGAACCUCUGGUGUACCGGUUGUGACGCCAGUCGCAUCGCCGGGUAGCUAUGUUCGGAAGGGAUAACCGCUGAAAGCAUCUAAGCGGGAAGCCUACCUCAAGAUAAGAUUUCCCUAGGACUUUAUGUCCUCUAAAGAGCCGUUCGAGACUAGGACGUUGAUAGGUUGGAUGUGGAAGCAUAGUGAUAUGUGAAGCUGACCAAUACUAAUUGCUCGUGAGGCUUGACUAUACAACACCC